UGUUGGAGAUUAUUACUUCUGGGUACUGUGUUUAUGCAUGCACCCUGGACCACAGCAUGUUGAGCCAGGUUGGAGCAGCCCUGGCUAGCAGGGGACCUAGGGGGUCAGCGUGCCAGCCUGGGACUGAUUCGACCCAGCCCAACAUGCUGCGGAGGGGCUGGCUGGGGCAUGAGGCCCCAGUGAGGAGCAGCCA